rnacentral:tRNA from 2 species
GGACUUUUAGCUCAGUUGGUUAGAGCCUCCAGCUCAUAACUGGAUGGUCGUAGGUUCGAGUCCUACAUGGUCCA